UUUAUCCAGACUUUGAUCCUGGCUCAGGAUGAACGCUAGCUACAGGCUUAACACAUGCAAGUCGAGGGGAAACGACAUCGAAAGCUUGCUUUUGAUGGGCGUCGACCGGCGCACGGGUGAGUAACGCGUAUCCAACCUGCCCACCACUUGGGGAUAACCUUGCGAAAGUAAGACUAAUACCCAAUGAUAUCUCUAGAAGGCAUCUGAAAGAGAUUAAAGACUUAUCGGUGAUGGAUGGGGAUGCGUCUGAUUAGCUUGUUGGCGGGGUAACGGCCCACCAAGGCGACGAUCAGUAGGGGUUCUGAGAGGGAGGUCCCCCACAUUGGAACAGAGACACGGUCCAAACUCCUACGGGAGGCAGCAGUGAGGAAUAUUGGUCAAUGGGCGAGAGCCUGAACCAGCCAAGUAGCGUGCAGGAUGACGGCCCUAUGGGUUGUAAACUGCUUUUAUAAGGGAAUAAAGUGAGUCUCGUGAGAUUUUUUGCAUGUACCUUAUGAAUAAGGACCGGCUAAUUCCGUGCCAGCAGCCGCGGUAAUACGGAAGGUCCGGGCGUUAUCCGGAUUUAUUGGGUUUAAAGGGAGCGUAGGCCGGAGAUUAAGCGUGUUGUGAAAUGUAGACGCUCAACGUCUGCACUGCAGCGCGAACUGGUUUCCUUGAGUACGCACAAAGUGGGCGGAAUUCGUGGUGUAGCGGUGAAAUGCUUAGAUAUCACGAGGAACUCCGAUUGCGAAGGCAGCUCACUGGAGCGCAACUGACGCUGAAGCUCGAAAGUGCGGGUAUCGAACAGGAUUAGAUACCCUGGUAGUCCGCACGGUAAACGAUGGAUGCCCGCUGUUGGUCUGAAUAGGUCAGCGGCCAAGCGAAAGCAUUAAGCAUCCCACCUGGGGAGUACGCCGGCAACGGUGCAACUCAAAGGAAUUGACGGA
rnacentral:rRNA from 1 species